CGUGUUGUGCAAACCCCCUUGCGGUACAUGCAUGGACGGCACACGGGCGGCACAGAAGCACAGUGUACAACAUCGAUGAUUGAUAUGAAGAGGAAAAGCCUUUUGCCAUCAUGCAUGUUUUUUUGCGGUCAUAUAGCACAAAAAGUUGUAUACUUAGGCCUUGUUUAGUUCCCAAAAAAUUUUGCAAAAUUUUUCAGAUUCCCCAUCACAUCGAAUCUUUAGACGUAUGCAUGAAGUAUUAAAUAUAGAUGAAAACAAAAACUAAUUACACAGUUUGAUCGGAAUUGACGAGACGAAUCUUUUGAGCCUAGUUAGUCCAUGAUUGGACAAUAUUUAUCAAAUACAAACGAAAUUGGUACUAUUCACAUUUUGCAAAAGUUUUUGGAACUAAACAAGGCCUUAAAAAAUAGGAGCUAGCAUAUCAUUUAUAUGAUGGAAGGUAGCUAGAUACAGUAAACUGGAGCACUAUAAGCUAGGAGUAUUACAGUUUCUCGGAGCACAUCGAUCGCCGAUGUCUACUAGCUAGUAGUAGUAGUAUAUAUAUAU
rnacentral:lncRNA from 1 species